AGAGUUUGAUCCUGGCUCAGGACGAACGCUGGCGGCGCGCCUAACACAUGCAAGUCGAACGAGCGAGAGAGAGCUUGCUUUCUCGAGCGAGUGGCGAACGGGUGAGUAACGCGUGAGGAACCUGCCUCAAAGAGGGGGACAACAGUUGGAAACGACUGCUAAUACCGCAUAAGCCCACGGCUCGGCAUCGAGCAGAGGGAAAAGGAGCAAUCCGCUUUGAGAUGGCCUCGCGUCCGAUUAGCUAGUUGGUGAGGUAACGGCCCACCAAGGCGACGAUCGGUAGCCGGACUGAGAGGUUGAACGGCCACAUUGGGACUGAGACACGGCCCAGACUCCUACGGGAGGCAGCAGUGGGGAAUAUUGCACAAUGGGGGAAACCCUGAUGCAGCGACGCCGCGUGGAGGAAGAAGGUCUUCGGAUUGUAAACUCCUGUUGUUGAGGAAGAUAAUGACGGUACUCAACAAGGAAGUGACGGCUAACUACGUGCCAGCAGCCGCGGUAAAACGUAGGUCACAAGCGUUGUCCGGAAUUACUGGGUGUAAAGGGAGCGCAGGCGGGAAGACAAGUUGGAAGUGAAAUCCAUGGGCUCAACCCAUGAACUGCUUUCAAAACUGUUUUUCUUGAGUAGUGCAGAGGUAGGCGGAAUUCCCGGUGUAGCGGUGGAAUGCGUAGAUAUCGGGAGGAACACCAGUGGCGAAGGCGGCCUACUGGGCACCAACUGACGCUGAGGCUCGAAAGUGUGGGUAGCAAACAGGAUUAGAUACCCUGGUAGUCCACACCGUAAACGAUGAUUACUAGGUGUUGGAGGAUUGACCCCUUCAGUGCCGCAGUUAACACAAUAAGUAAUCCACCUGGGGAGUACGACCGCAAGGUUGAAACUCAAAGGAAUUGACGGGGGCC
rnacentral:rRNA from 2 species